rnacentral:rRNA from 1 species
GACAGAGGGGGCAAGCGUUGCUCGGAAUUACUGGGCGUAAAGGGCGCGUAGGCGGGAUGGCAAGUCGGAUGUGAAAUCCCCAGGCUUAACCUGGGAACUGCAUCCGAUACUGGAUGGCUUGAAUUCGGGAGAGGGAUGCAGAAUUCCAGGUGUAGCGGUGAAAUGCGUAGAUAUCUGGAGGAAUACCGGUGGCGAAGGCGGCAUCCUGGACCGACAUUGACGCUGAGGAGCGAAAGCUAGGGGAGCAAACGGG